ensembl:lincRNA
GCCGGAUCUGGGACGUGCUCUGACUCCUGGUAACGUCCCCCUGGUUCGAGUCCCUGACAACCGGUCAACUGGUCAAGCGUUCGGCCGCAGGGUUUGGCUGACCACUCAGGGGGUCCUCCUCCUCCUGCGCACUGGACGGGAUGCUCAUCUUCGCCCGGUCUGCCUCCGGUGAAGGGGGCACCCUCGGCAUCACCUAUGACAUCACCCAGUGAUGUCACAGUGACAUCGUCGCCACAGUCCUCCACACCACUGGCACAGGAAGCUCCGGCCCUGACGAGGCUCCUACUCUUGACCAGCAGCUCCAGCCCCGGUCCAGCCGGGCUUCACAGCCCGGGCACUAACGGGUCGUUUGGACCGGUACUGGACCCGUUCCUCCGGGUCGCUCGGCCAGCCCCGAGUGUGAAAGAUACCCGACUGCAGGGGAACCCUGCCCCGGGCUCUCUGGUUUCUGAUCACACAGCUGCUGGGGAGGCACGGGUAAGCCCGCGGUGGGGCCAGAUCAAUCUGACGUCACGGCGGGAUCGGCGCCUUCACGACAGAGCUGUUGUUUUAGGCGUUGAUUGCCGAAGGAGGCGAAGCAGGGCGCUGUGCCGCUGCCAUUCACGCCCUGAGUUGAGUUCAUUGCUCUUGUAAUUGCCGCGGCCCUGACCAUUCAUACAUUUCUACUGUGUGUUUCCACCGUACCGCACCUCCCUCCCCGGCUCGGCCGGCUGCCGCUCACCCCGCCGGCUCCGGCGCACCUCUAACCCCGCUACCCCAUCCAUCAGCGCCGGCCCGAGCGCCCAGCCUCCCCCCGGGCUGCCCCUCUCGGCGCACACAAUGGGAGCGGGGUCCGGAGCGCCUGACCUCCGGGAGCUGGCUGCGCGCCCGCCCGGAUAAACAACCGCGGCGCUCCGGCGCUGGAACAAUGCGCGCCCCCCCGGCCGCGAGCCGGGCAGCGCAGGCGAGAGGGGAAGCGGCUGCACGCGGGCCAAGAGCCGCACUUCCUGACAGGAGAGGGUUGUGGGUAAACUCUCUGCCCUCGGCGAUGGGCGCACAAAAUCCAUCUUUGUUGAAGAUGCUGGAGAGGCGAAUCCAUUAUAUCCGGCUAUUAUUAUCAUCAUUUAAAGGAAACCGUGUGGCCACUCUUCUCUGGAGUCAUUCCAAAGCAGCGAUACAGUUUUUUUUAACUAUGUCCAAACCUAGAUAAGCUAUUUCACAUGAGGUCUGACUGAUGCCGAUGUAAAAAAAAACACUACUUCACACAAACACAACACACAACGCUACUUAUACAAACAUGAGACAAAUAACACAACACUCUCACACAAACAUAGCACUCCCUUACACAACACAAAUCUCAAAGAAACAGCACUAAAGCACACAACAGUACCUUAACUACGCACAACACAACUCAGCACACGCAACAUAACCUCACACAACAACCCUGAUACCAGCCAGCCUCAGGACAGCACUGCUACAACACUGCCUCACACAAACACAACACUACCUCUCCCACUGGUACACAUACAGAAUCACAACACAUACUGGAACACGACUGGGCCCUGAAAAGACAACACACGCUCGUAACUGAUCACAGUGACAGACAACAAAGAAACACAGCUACUGAUGAAGUACAGGCUCAGUGACCACAGCCUGGACACAGACACUGGACACAGGCAGACCAGGCUGUCCAGAGAGGACAGGCUCAGUGACCACAGCCUGG